GAAGAAUGGUGAUUGCAGAUUCAGUGAAUCAUCGAAUCUUUGAACGCACAUUGCGCCCGCCAGUAUUCUGGCGGGCAUGCCUGUCCGAGCGUCAUUUCAACCCUCAAGCCCCUCAAGGCUUGGUGUUGGGGACCGGCCUCACCGCCGCCCCCGAAAUGCAGUGGCGACCUCGCCGCAGCCUCCCCUGCGUAGUAGCACAACCUCGCACCGGAGCGCGGAGACGGUCACGCCGUAAAACGCCCAACUUUUUUUUAGAGUUGACCUCGGAUCAGGUAGGAAUACCCGCUGAACUUAAGCAUAUCAAUAAGCGGAGGAAAAGAAACCAACAGGGAUUGCCCCAGUAACGGCGAGUGAAGCGGCAACAGCUCAAAUUUGAAAUCUGGCCCCUAGGGCCCGAGUUGUAAUUUGCAGAGGAUGCUUUUGGCGCGGUGCCUUCCGAGUUCCCUGGAACGGGACGCCAUAGAGGGUGAGAGCCCCGUCUGGUCGGACACCAAGCCAGUGUAAAGCUCCUUCGACGAGUCGAGUAGUUUGGGAAUGCUGCUCUAAAUGGGAGGUAUAUGUCUUCUAAAGCUAAAUACCGGCCAGAGACCGAUAGCGCACAAGUAGAGUGAUCGAAAGAUGAAAAGCACUUUGAAAAGAGGGUUAAAAAGUACGUGAAAUUGUUGAAAGGGAAGCGUUUAUGACCAGACUUGGGCCCGGUGAAUCAUCCAGCGUUCUCGCUGGUGCACUUUGCCGGGCUCAGGCCAGCAUCAGUUCGCCGUGGGGGAUAAAAGCUUCGGGAACGUGGCUCCCUCGGGAGUGUUAUAGCCCGUUGCAUAAUACCCUGUGGCGGACUGAGGUUCGCGCUCCGCAAGGAUGCUGGCGUAAUGGUCAUCAGCGACCCGUCUUGAAACACGGACCAAGGAGUCGUCUUCGUAUGCGAGUGUUCGGGUGUAAAACCCCUACGCGUAAUGAAAGUGAACGCAGGUGAGAGCUUCGGCGCAUCAUCGACCGAUCCUGAUGUUCUCGGAUGGAUUUGAGUAAGAGCAUACGGGGCCGGACCCGAAAGAAGGUGAACUAUGCCUGUGUAGGGUGAAGCCAGAGGAAACUCUGGUGGAGGCUCGCAGCGGUUCUGACGUGCAAAUCGAUCGUCAAACAUGGGCAUGGGGGCGAAAGACUAAUCGAACCUUCUAGUAGCUGGUUUCCGCCGAAGUUUCCCUCAGGAUAGCAGUGUUGAACUCAGUUUUAUGAGGUAAAGCGAAUGAUUAGGGACCCGGGGGCGCUCUUUAGCCUUCAUCCAUUCUCAAACUUUAAAUAUGUAAGAAGCCCUUGUUGCUUAAUUGAACGUGGGCAUUCGAAUGUAUCAACACUAGUGGGCCAUUUUUGGUAAGCAGAACUGGCGAUGCGGGAUGAACCGAACGCGAGGUUAAGGUGCCAGAGUAGACGCUCAUCAGACACCACAAAAGGCGUUAGUACAUCUUGACAGCAGGACGGUGGCCAUGGAAGUCGGAAUCCGCUAAGGACUGUGUAACAACUCACCUGCCGAAUGUACUAGCCCUGAAAAUGGAUGGCGCUCAAGCGUCUCACCCAUACCUCGCCCUCAGGGUAGAAACGAAGCCCUGAGGAGUAGGCGGACGUGGAGGUCGUGACGAAGCCUAGGGCGUGAGCCCUGGUAGAAAUCU
rnacentral:rRNA from 1 species